AGUGAACGCUGGCGGUAGGCCUAACACAUGCAAGUCGAACGGCAGCACAGUAAGAGCUUGCUCUUACGGGUGGCGAGUGGCGGACGGGUGAGGAAUACAUCGGAAUCUACUUUUUCGUGGGGGAUAACGUAGGGAAACUUACGCUAAUACCGCAUACGACCUACGGGUGAAAGCAGGGGAUCUUCGGACCUUGCGCGAUUGAAUGAGCCGAUGUCGGAUUAGCUAGUUGGCGGGGUAAAGGCCCACCAAGGCGACGAUCCGUAGCUGGUCUGAGAGGAUGAUCAGCCACACUGGAACGGAGACACGGUCACGACUCCUACGGGAGGCAGCAGUGGGGAAUAGUGGACAAUGGGCGCAAGCCUGAUCCAGCCAUACCGCGUGGGUGAAGAAGGCCUUCGGGUUGUAAAGCCCUUUUGUUGGGAAAGAAAAGCAGCAGGUUAAUACCCCGCUGUUCUGACGGUACCCAAAGAAUAAGCACCGGCUAACUUCGUG
rnacentral:rRNA from 1 species